rnacentral:rRNA from 1 species
UCGAGGGGAAACGGCAUUGAGUGCUUGCACUCUUUGGACGUCGACCGGCGCACGGGUGAGUAACGCGUAUCCAACCUUCCCAUUACUGUGGGAUAACCUGCCGAAAGGCAGACUAAUACCGCAUAGUCUUCGAUGACGGCAUCAGAUUUGAAGUAAAGAUUUAUCGGUAAUGGAUGGGGAUGCGUCUGAUUAGCUUGUUGGCGGGGUAACGGCCCACCAAGGCAACGAUCAGUAGGGGUUCUGAGAGGAAGGUCCCCCACAUUGGAACUGAGACACGGUCCAAACUCCUACGGGAGGCAGCAGUGAGGAAUAUUGGUCAAUGGACGGAAGUCUGAACCAGCCAAGUAGCGUGCAGGAUGACGGCCCUAUGGGUUGUAAACUGCUUUUGUAUGGGGAUAAAGUUAGGGACGUGUCCCUAUUUGCAGGUACCAUACGAAUAAGGACCGGCUAAUUCCGUGCCAGCAGCCGCGGUAAUACGGAAGGUCCAGGCGUUAUCCGGAUUUAUUGGGUUUAAAGGGAGCGUAGGCUGGAGAUUAAGUGUGUUGUGAAAUGUAGACGCUCAACGUCUGAAUUGCAGCGCAUACUGGUUUCCUUGAGUACGCACAACGUUGGCGGAAUUCGUCGUGUAGCGGUGAAAUGCUUAGAUAUGACGAAGAACUCCGAUUGCGAAGGCAGCUGACGGGAGCGCAACUGACGCUUAAGCUCGAAGGUGCGGGUAUCAAACAGGAUUAGAUACCCUGGUAGUCCGCACAGUAAACGAUGGAUGCCCGCUGUUGGUACCUGGUAUCAGCGGCUAAGCGAAAGCAUUAAGCA